AUCACUAACUUCUAAUAUGGCAGAAUAUCAUGCAAUGAACUUAAAAUUCAUUUAUAAAGAAUAAUCUUUUUUUAGAAA
rnacentral:tRNA from 1 species